rnacentral:lncRNA from 1 species
AAGAAAAAAGAAAAGGGCAGGUAGGGAGGAAGAAAAUUGGACAAUUUUAAAUGACUUGAAUCCAGAAUAAUAAAGAAUUCUUACAACUACUGAAAAAUAAAGUGUUUAAUUAAAAUGUGCAAAAACGUGAAUAGCUACUUUACCAGAGAAGAUUUAAAGGGCCAAUUGGCAUGUGAAAAAGUAACAGUAUCAGUCAUCAGGGAAAUGCAAAUUAAAACUACCAUCUUGUUCCAAUUAUCUAGUGUUAUGUGACAAGCCAGCCUCAAAAGUGGUAGCUUAAAAUGACAAUAUGUUUUCUACACGUAUCUCUGCCAACUGGGACGGCCUAAGGGACAACUCACCUCUGCUUCGGUUGGCACUGGCUCAGCCCUCUUGGAUUCAGGGCUGGGACUGUCUGCAGACCCAUUCACUCUGUUUGGCAGUUGGUGGUACAUGUUAGCUGGGAUGAUAGCUAAAACUGUUUGAACACUUUCACAUCACCCUUCCAGCAUCCCAAGAUUCCUGUUAUCACGGCUAGGUUCCAAGAGCCAAGCGCCCCAAGGGUCAGGACCAGUUAGAAGCUGCUCCACUCCUGUCCUAUAGAACACUGGUGUUCUGUCUUAUUCUGCAUUAGAAGUCAGUCAUUGAGGUUGGUCCGUAUACAAAGGGAGGGGCUCAUAUCAAAGCCUUGAAGGCAACUACAUCCCAAAUACACACAUUGCCCCCUACACCUCCCCUAAGACGCUACAGAUAUCAGCAUCAGGAUCAGGCUCAAAGAAUGUAUCGUCUGAGUCAAGCGCAGAGGGUGCCCUCCAAACAGAAACAAGUCAACUGAAGACCUAUGAACUAAACCGGUUCUCUCUCCUCACCUCCAUACAGCUGUGGGUCUGGAUGACACUCCUGGAAUACAUUGUUGAGAAAGAGAAAACAGGAGACCACAAAAGCCAUUAGCCCAUCCACUCUGAAAUCCAGCACAAACCUGUUACCACGUCCUAAAUUAGAGUUUAAUGUUAUUAUGUGAGAAUUAUUACAGUCCCUGGCUUCUCCUGGGCUCUUUGUCAUCUUUUCUUGAAUUCAGGAUUAAUUUUUCCUUGCACAUAAGAGAAGGUGAGUGUGAUGGUUAGUAUUGUCAACCUGACAGGCUCUGGGAUCACCUAUGAGACAGGUGUCUAUGGACACCAGUGAGGGAUUAUCUAGAUUACACUAGUUAAGGUGGGAAGACCCACCCUACCUGCCAGAGGAAUGAAAACAAGAACUUGAGCUGAACUGACAUCCACUCUGUUUCCUGACUGUACCCAACUAUAGUGCCAUGUGACCCACUGCAUCACGCUCCUGACUGUGGAGUCAUGUGACCUGCUACUUCCUACUUCUGACUCGGACUGUGGAGCCACGUGACCUGCUGCUUUCUGCUCCUGACUGUGGAGUCACGUGACCGGAUACGUCAUGCUUCUGACUGUGGAGUCUUGUGACCCGCUGCUUUGCAUUCCUCACCAUGUCUUCUGCGCCACGAAGGACGUAACCCUGGAGCUGUAAGCCAAAACAUAUCCCUUCUCCCUUGCCAAGAUGCUUUAUUACGGCAACAGGAAGAGUAACUGCUGCGUGUUUCUGCGUCAACCUCCUGGCCUAAGAGGAAUCUAAAAGUUUUAUUUCAUUAAAUGGAACUGGAGUUACAGAAGCUAUGAGCUGCCUGAUGUCAUGUUGGUAACUGAACCCUGGUUCUCUGGGAAAGCAGCCAGUGCUCUUAACUGCUCCAGCCCACUAAGGGAGAAUUUGUGACUGCCUGACUGCUUGGAAGUUGUGCCUAAACAUAAAGUAUACAUAGACACAAACACAAUCACACUCCUUCAGCAAAGACGGGUGAGCUUUUCCUCCAGAGUCUCAGCACUGAGCACCACACUAAGAAAAUACUACAGUUCUUUCCAACAUCAGAAACGCAGCUUCAUGGCUUCAUUCAGAACGUCGCUAAAGAGCUGCCAUCAUAAUCAACAGACUCUAAGAAAAGGGAGACCUAGGUUGUCUAACUUACGUUUCCCAACUUGUCUCCUCGCCAGCAACAAAAUUUCAAAAGCAGGCAAAGAAACAAGAAAGAGAUGAGUCAUGCUUAGGAAAAAACUAACAACGGAAAAUGUCCCAAGAAGCCCAGACAAUGGACUCUCUGGACAGAAACUUCUUAUCAGCUACUUUAAAUAUGUUCACAGGUAACCGUUUCUAAAGGACGUUUUAAAGGUGUGAGAAUGUCUUAGAGAUGGUGCAUGGAUGAAGGGAAUAAAUUAAAAGUGAUCACAGAGAUACUAUGCUUGAAAGGUACAGUAGCCAAAACAAAAAUUUCACUGAGUUAAGGUCGCAGGAAAAAGAAUCAGUGAAAAGAUCAGUUGAGGAAACUGAGGAAGAAAAUUGUAUCUAAAAAUGAAGAAAAUGAAAGGAGCCUCGGAGAUCUGAAGGACGCCAUUGAGCAUGCCACGGAUCUGAGGGGCGCCAUUGAACUUGCUACGGAUCUGAGGGUCGCCGUUGACCAGGCCACUGAUCUGAGGGGCACUAUUGAGAAUGCCAUUGCUCUGAGAGGUGCUAUUGAGUGUCCUACUGAUCUGAGGGGCGCCAUUGAACGUGCCACUGAUCUGAGGGGCGCCAUUGAACGUGCCACUGAUCUGAGGGGCGCCGUUGAGCAUGCCACUGCUCUGAGGGGUGCAUUGAGCAUGCCACUAAAAGUGUCAUGGGUUUUGCGAAGGUCUGUGAAAAGAGAGAAAGGACAGAAAUAAUAUAAGAAAAUUUAAUACCAAAAGUCUAACCUCUGCAUCU